GCAAGUCGAGCGCACCUUCGGGUGAGCGGCGGACGGGUUAGUAACGCGUGGGAACAUACCCUUUUCUGCGGAAUAGCCUUUGGAAACGAAGAGUAAUACCGCAUACGCCCUUCGGGGGAAAGAUUUAUCGGUGAAGGAUUGGCCCGCGUUAGAUUAGAUAGUUGGUGGGGUAACGGCCUACCAAGUCUACGAUCUAUAGCUGGUUUGAGAGGAUGAUCAGCAACACUGGGACUGAGACACGGCCCAGACUCCUACGGGAGGCAGCAGUGGGGAAUCUUAGACAAUGGGCGAAAGCCUGAUCUAGCGAUGCCGCGUGAGUGACGAAGGCCUUAGGGUCGUAAAGCUCUUUCGCCAGGGAUGAUAAUGACAGUACCUGGUAAAGAAACCCCGGCUAACUCCGUGCCAGCAGCCGCGGUAAUACGGAGGGGGUUAGCGUUGUUCGGAAUUACUGGGCGUAAAGCGUACGUAGGCGGAUUAGUCAGUCAGAGGUGAAAUCCCAGGGCUCAACCCUGGAACUGCCUUUGAUACUGCUAGUCUUGAGUUCGAGAGAGGUGAGUGGAAUUCCGAGUGUAGAGGUGAAAUUCGUAGAUAUUCGGAGGAACACCAGUGGCGAAGGCGGCUCACUGGCUCGAUACUGACGCUGAGGUACGAAAGUG
rnacentral:rRNA from 1 species